GGGAGAGCAGCAGCGACGGGUGAGUAAAGCACAAGGACCUUAGUCCCGAAGAGGGGGACAACUGUGGGAAACCACUGCUAAUACCCCAUAAGCCGAGAGGUGAAAGCAGCGAUGCGCUUUAGGAGAGACUUGUGUCCUAUCAGGUAGUUGGUGAGGUAACGGCUCACCAAGCCGAAGACGGGUAGCCGGACUGAGAGGUUGUACGGCCACAUUGGAACUGAGAGACGGUCCAGACUCCUACGGGAGGCAGCAGUGGGGAAUAUUGGGCAAUGGGGGCAACCCUUGACCCAGCGACGCCGCGUGAGGGAAGACAGCCUUCGGGUUGUAAACCUCUGUUGCAGGGGAAGAAGAAAGUGACGGUACCCUGCGAGGAAGCUCCGGCAAACUACGUGCCAGCCGCCGC
rnacentral:rRNA from 1 species